GACGGAGGUACACAUGUGUAGUCAGCCGGAAUUUUUCGUGUCGUGUUGUAAAAGUUGUUAAUUCGCCGUAAAUAUCUCUUGAUUUGUACUCAAGAGUGGAGCAAGACCCCAAGGAAGAGAGAUUGACGCAUCGGGAGCGAAGAACAGAAACGAUGGAUGGUUACGCUGCUUGGGUCUCGGCACGUUCGAAUUGGCAAAGUUCCGAAUUUGUCGCUGUGUGGUGUACGCUUGUGCGCUCGUCAUUUGCCGUCAUCGCGCGGAGAUAUUUGCGCUGGAUGUCUUUCACUUCGUGUACAAAACUCUGCACGCUGCGGCAUCGAAGAAGUUGUCCUGUGUUUGGGUGCACGUAUGCGCUUGGACACGGAUAGCCUGCUUGCUCUCAACGGGUGUUCAACAGUCUACGCGCACUCGUAACUUGCUCAUGAGGCCUGUUGCUGUUGUUCUGCUCAAGCUGAGAAGAGGUCUGCUGCCUGCAGUGGGUCCAUCUCUCUCAAGUUAUCGCAGUAUUGUAGCUCUCGAACCUGUGCAGACAAGGUUUAUUAGACAUGGCCAUGGCCCUCAAGGAAGAUGCCGAGGCCACAGGCAGUUCCUCCAGUGACCGUCCAAAGGUCCCCUGUGGCACAAGUCUAAUUUGGCACCUGUACCUUUCUCCUGCAGCUUUUCUGUCUACUUAGCU